AAUAAGUUUAUUUUUCGUCUUUCCGUAUCCAACGUUUGACAUUCGUCUUAUUUGAAUUUCUUUUACGAUUAAUAUUUUCUUACUGGAUGAUAAAACAUGAAUACUUUAUGCAUGACUAAUUUUUUGUAAAUUUAUGUAUAAAUUUUUAAAUAAGACAAUGGUCAAACAUUAGACACGAAAAA
rnacentral:pre_miRNA from 1 species